UCCUUCAUUUAGUGCUUAGAUGACCUUUU
rnacentral:piRNA from 1 species